GGCGUCGACCGGCGCACGGGUGAGUAACGCGUAUCCAACCUGCCCAUCACUUGGGGAUAACCUUGCGAAUGUAAGACUAAUACCCAAUGAUAUCUCUAGAAGACAUCUGAAAGAGAUUAAAGAUUUAUCGGUGAUGGAUGGGGAUGCGUCUGAUUAGCUUGUUGGCGGGGUAACGGCCCACCAAGGCGACGAUCAGUAGGGGUUCUGAGAGGAAGGUCCCCCACAUUGGAACUGAGACACGGUCCAAACUCCUACGGGAGGCAGCAGUGAGGAAUAUUGGUCAAUGGGCGAGAGCCUGAACCAGCCAAGUAGCGUGCAGGAUGACGGCCCUAUGGGUUGUAAACUGCUUUUAUAAGGGAAUAAAGUGAGUCUCGUGAGACUUUUUGCAUGUACCUUAUGAAUAAGGACCGGCUAAUUCCGUGCCAGCAGCCGCGGUAAUAAGGAAGGUCCGGGCGUUAUCCGGAUUUAUUGGGUUUAAAGGGAGCGUAGGCCGGAGAUUAAGCGUGUUGUGAAAUGUAGACGCUCAACGUCUGCACUGCAGCGCGAACUGGUUUCCUUGAGUACGCACAAAGUGGGCGGAAUUCGUGGUGUAGCGGUGAAAUGCUUAGAUAUCACGAAGAACUCCGAUUGCGAAGGCAGCUCACUGGAGCGCAUCUGACGCUGAAGCUCGAAAGUGCGGGUAUCGAACAGGAUUAGAUACCCUGGUAGUCCGCACGGUAAACGAUGGAUGCCCGCUGUUGGUCUGAAUAGGUCAGCGGCCAAGCGAAAGCAUUAAGCAUCCCACCUGGGGAGUACGCCGGCAACGGUGCAACUCAAAGGAAUUGACGG
rnacentral:rRNA from 1 species